ensembl:lncRNA LINC02627 long intergenic non-protein coding RNA 2627
AGUAUAAAGAGUGCCAGGCAACGGCCAAUGGCUUCUACAAUCCCUUUCAUCCUGGACAGUCCAGUGUUGUGAUACCCUGACACCAAGACCCUUCCUUGGUUGUCUGGCACAGUGCUGCCACAUACCAUCUCAGGAACUUUCAUUUAUUUCCCUUUGUGUCCAAACAUCAGAAAGGCUUUCUGAGUUGCUUGCCAAGGUGUUCUUCAGCCUUCCCUAGGCUAAACUUCUCCAUUGGAUCAAUAGCAGGUGGUCAACAAAGACAAAAACACCAUCUUCAGAAUGACUCAGAUCAUCCUCUUGGGCAGCCCUUUUUGGAUAUCUCUAUGAAAUUCUGCAGCUGAAAGCUGACACGCAUAAUUAUUUCCUGUUAGAUACUGAAGAAAAAAAAAAGCCCAGGAGAUAUUGUCGAGACUGUUUCUGGGGUGUGAUUGGGGGAUAGGAGAUGACCAUCCAGACCCACAGGAAAUGGGCAUUCUUGCUGAAAGUCAUGAAAGCAACUGAUUAUCUGCUAAGUGGAACUCCAGGGAGCAUGUUCAUCCUUACAUCUUACAGAGGAGGCGACUUUGCCAUCCAAUUAGUCCUAUUACCUUCUCACUGGAUCACAAAGGCAUUUAUGGGAAUAAGUCAUUUUUUAAAGGAAGAGAGAAGUGCAUUUAACAUGAAUAGUUGUCUAAUAGCAUCAUUUCCCCAUUUCUCCUUCCCAACAAAGAACCCCAGGUAGCCUUUGUGCCUGGAGGUGCGGUGGUUAUUUCAUUCACAGUUCCAAAGAUAGGGCUGACUGGCCUGGGCGGGAACGGGAGUAGGGGGAUGGGGGUGGGGAGGUAAUACUCUCAAACAGUGCAUGGUCUGGAAUUGGGCAUUUUAUUAGAUCUAAUAGGCUGAUCACUUACUCUGUAAUUGUGAGAACUUUUUUGGUUUGAAUUUUUGUCCGCUUGAUGUGAAUGAAGAAACAGGUAGGACAAUUGUUAUAGGCAGCCAUCUGUCCAUAAGUGCAACCAGACUGAGGAUUAAGCCAAUGCCAUAACUGGCAGAACAGGCCACCCGGCCAACGCUACUGAGCUGUGAGAUUGAUGUACCUGAAUCCUGCCCUAAUACAGAACUUAUACUUUACAAUUCAUUUCAUAAUCUUCAAGGCCGUUAGAGAAGGCUUUCCUGAUACUUGUAGCAAAAAUCUUCCUAAAUUGAAAAAGAAAUGAUAUCUGAAUACUAAGAA